UUAAAGCAAUCUAUGGUGGUGUGAUACGCCGCUAGCCAAUCCAUCCCUAAAAUUACAUCAAAAUCUCUCGUGUCUAACCCUAUUAGGUCUACACAUAGUUUUCUAUUUGCUAUCUCCAUGGUACAAGCCCUGUAGACAACUUCCUCUAAUAGUGUUUCUCUCCCAGUAGUAGACACAAAUAACAUUGAAUCAAGUUUAUCAUGUGAUACAUUAAGUUUG
rnacentral:lncRNA from 1 species